AGUGAACGCUGGCGGUAGGCCUAACACAUGCAAGUCGAACGGCGGCACAGUAAGAGCUUGCUCUUACGGGUGGCGAGUGGCGGACGGGUGAGGAAUACAUCGGAAUCUACUUUUUCGUGGGGGAUAACGUAGGGAAACUUACGCUAAUACCGCAUACGACCUACGGGUGAAAGCAGGGGAUCUUCGGACCUUGCGCGAUUGAAUGAGCCGAUGUCGGAUUAGCUAGUUGGCGGGGUAAAGGCCCACCAAGGCGACGAUCCGUAGCUGGUCUGAGAGGAUGAUCAGCCACACUGGAACUGAGACACGGUCCAGACUCCUACGGGAGGCAGCAGUGGGGAAUAUUGGACAAUGGGCGCAAGCCUGAUCCAGCCAUACCGCGUGGGUGAAGAAGGCCUUCGGGUUGUAAAGCCCUUUUGUUGGGAAAGAAAAGCAGCAGGUUAAUACCACGCUGUUCUGACGGUACCCAAAGAAUAAGCACCGGCUAACUUCGUG
rnacentral:rRNA from 1 species